UUUGAUCCUGGCUCAGGAUGAACGCUGGCGGCGUGCCUAACACAUGCAAGUCGAACGAAGCGCAUGCCUGGAACCCUCCGGGGGGAAGGGCAUAUGACUGAGUGGCGGACGGGUGAGUAACGCGUGGGCAACCUGCCCCGCACUGGGGGACAACAGCCGGAAACGGCUGCUAAUACCGCAUAUGCGCACAGCUUUGCAUGAAGCAGUGUGGAAAACUCCGGUGGUGCGGGAUGGGCCCGCGUCUGAUUAGCUGGUUGGCGGGGCAACGGCCCACCAAGGCGACGAUCAGUAGCCGGCCUGAGAGGGUGGACGGCCACAUUGGGACUGAGACACGGCCCAGACUCCUACGGGAGGCAGCAGGUGGGGGAUAUUGCACAAUGGGGGGAACCCUGAUGCAGCGACGCCGCGUGAGCGAAGAAGUACCUCGGUAUGUAAAGCUCUAUCAGCAGGGAAGAAAAUGACGGUACCUGACUAAGAAGCCCCGGCUAAAUACGUG
rnacentral:rRNA from 1 species